rnacentral:rRNA from 1 species
AUUGAACGCUGGCGGCAUGCCUUACACAUGCAAGUCGAACGGCAGCACGGACUUCGGUCUGGUGGCGAGUGGCGAACGGGUGAGUAAUAUAUCGGAACAUACCUUGUAGUGGGGGAUAACUAUCCGAAAGGAUAGCUAAUACCGCAUACGCUCUAAGGAGGAAAGUGGGGGAUCGCAAGACCUCAUGCUAUAAGAGUGGCCGAUAUCUGAUUAGCUAGUUUGUGAUGUAAAGGCUCACCAAGGCGACGAUCAGUAGCUGGUCUGAGAGGACGACCAGCCACACUGGAACUGAGACACGGUCCAGACUCCUACGGGAGGCAGCAGUGGGGAAUUUUGGACAAUGGGGGCAACCCUGAUCCAGCAAUGCCGCGUGAGUGAAGAAGGCCUUCGGGUUGUAAAGCUCUUUUGUCAGGGAAGAAACGGUUGUGGCUAAUAUCCAUGGCUAAUGACGGUACCUGAAGAAUAAGCACCGGCUAACUACGUGCCAGCAGCCGCGGUAA